rnacentral:lncRNA from 1 species
GGGCUCGGACCUAGUUCGCGGUGACAUGGCCAAACCUACCAAGAAAGUCGGGAUCGUCGGUAAAUACGGGACCCGCUAUGGGGCCUCCCUCUGGAAAAUGGUGAAGAAAGUUGAAAUCAGCCAGCAGGCCAAGUACACUUGCUCUUUCUGUGGCAAAACCAAGAUGAAGAGAUGAGCUGCGGGGAUCUGGCACUGUGGUUCCCGCGUGAAGACAGUGGCUGGCGGUGCCUGGACAUACAAUACCACCUCCGCUAUCACGGUAAAGUCCGCCAUCAGAAGCCUGAAGGAGUUGAAAGACCAGUAGACGCUCCUCUACUCUUUGAGACAUCACUGGCCUGUAAUAAAUGGGUUAAUUUAUUUAAAAAAAAAAAAAAAAAAAAAAAAAAGGAGC